GAUGAACGCUGGCGGCGUGCCUAAUACAUGCAAGUCGAGCGAACAGACGAGGAGCUUGCUCCUCUGACGUUAGCGGCGGACGGGUGAGUAACACGUGGAUAACCUACCUAUAAGACUGGGAUAACUUCGGGAAACCGGAGCUAAUACCGGAUAAUAUAUUGAACCGCAUGGUUCAAUAGUGAAAGACGGUUUUGCUGUCACUUAUAGAUGGAUCCGCGCCGCAUUAGCUAGUUGGUAAGGAACGGCUUACCAAGGCAACGAUGCGUAGCCGACCUGAGAGGGUGAUCGGCCACACUGGAACUGAGACACGGUCCAGACUCCUACGGGAGGCAGCAGUAGGGAAUCUUCCGCAAUGGGCGAAAGCCUGACGGAGCAACGCCGCGUGAGUGAUGAAGGUCUUCGGAUCGUAAAACUCUGUUAUUAGGGAAGAACAAAUGUGUAAGUAACUAUGCACGUCUUGACGGUACCUAAUCAGAAAGCCACGGCUAACUACGU
rnacentral:rRNA from 1 species